rnacentral:rRNA from 1 species
GAUGAACGCUGGCGGCGUGCUUAACACAUGCAAGUCGAACGGAAAGGCUCCUGCUUGCCGGGGUACUCGAGUGGCGAACGGGUGAGUAACACGUGGGUGAUCUGCCCUGAACUUAGGGAUAAGCCUGGGAGACUGGGUCUCAUACCGGAUAGGACGAUGGUUUGGAUGCCAUUGUGGAAAGUUUUUUGGGGUGGGAUGAGCUCGCGGACUAUCAGCUUGUUGGUGGGAUAAUGGCCUACCAAGGCGUCGACGGGUAGGCGGCCAGUGAGGGUGUACGGCGACAUUGGGACUGAGAGACGGCCCAGGCACCGACGGGAGGCAACAGUGGGGAAUAUUGCACAAUGGGCGCAAGCCGGGUGCUGCGACGCCGCGUGUGGGAAGACGGCCUUCGGGUUGUAAACCCCUUUCGCUAGGAACGGAGCAUGUUGUGACGGUACCUGGAGAGGAAGCACCGGCUAACUACGUG